rnacentral:pre_miRNA from 1 species
AUUUGCCUGUGUCUGGAUGGUGUUCAACACCAGGGACAGGUGUGUUUCAGGGUGUGGAUGGUGUUCAGCACCAGGGACAGAUGUGUUUGGUU